rnacentral:rRNA from 1 species
AUUGAACGCUGGCGGCAGGCUUAACACAUGCAAGUCGAGCGAGCGGCGGACGGGGGAGAGAAGUCUGGGAAACAGCCUGAUGGAGGGGGAUAACUAUUGGAAACGGUAGCUAAUAUCGCACACCAUCAGAUGUGCCCAGAUGGGAUUAGCUGGUAGGUGGGGUAACGGCUCACCUAGCGGACGAUCCCUCUCUGGUCUGAGAGGAUGACCAGCCACACUGGAACUGCGACACGGUCCAGACUCCUACGGGGGGCAGCAGUGGGGAAUAUUGCACAAUGGGCGCAAGCCUGAUGCCGCCAUGCCGCGUGUGUGAAGAAGGCCUUCGGGUUUUAAAGCACUUUCAGCGAGGAGGCGUUACCCGCAGAAGAAGCACCGGCUAACUCCGUGCCAGCAGCCGCGGUAAUAC